GACGAAGGAUGCAAGCGUUAUCCGGAUUCAUUGGGUUUAAAGGGAGCGUAGGUGGCCUUAUAAGUCAGUGGUGAAAUCUCUGGGCUUAACCCAGAAAUUGCCAUUGAUACUGUAGGGCUUGAGUAUAGUUCCGUUGGCGGAAUAUGACAUGUAGUGGUGAAAUACAUAGAGAUGUCAUAGAACACCGAUUGCGAAGGCAGCUAACGAAACUAUAACUGACACUGAGGCUCGAAAGUGCGGGGAUCAAACAGGA
rnacentral:rRNA from 1 species